AAGGGAUUCCCUAGUACGGCGAGUGAACCGGGAAGAGCUCAAAUUUGAAAUCUGGCGUCCUCAGGGCGUCCGAGUUGUAAUCUAUAGAGGCGUUUUCCGUGCCGGACCGUGUCCAAGUUCCUUGGAACAGGAUAUCAAAGAGGGUGACAAUCCCGUACUUGACACGACGACCGGUGCUCUGUGAUACGUCUUCUACGAGUCGAGUUGUUUGGGAAUGCAGCUCAAAAUGGGUGGUGAGUUCCAUCUAAAGCUAAAUAUUGGCGAGAGACCGAUAGCGAACAAGUACCGUGAGGGAAAGAUGAAAAGCACUUUGGAAAGAGAGUUAAACAGUACGUGAAAUUGUUGAAAGGGAAACGAUUGAAGUCAGUCGUGACCGAGAGGCUCAGCCGGUUCUGCCGGUGUAUUCCCCUCGGUCGGGUCAACAUCAGUUUUGUCCGGUGGAUAAGGGCGGUAGGAAGGUGGCACCCUCGGGUGUGUUAUAGCCUGCCGUCGCAUACAUCGGGUGAGACUGAGGAACGCAGCUCGCCUUUAUGGCCGGGGUUCGCCCACGUCCGAGCUUAGGAUGUUGACAUAAUGGCUUUAAACGACCCGUCUUGAAAMAMGGGGAAMCAAAAA
rnacentral:rRNA from 1 species